ACACUCGCCAGUCCCGGCUCCCCGCAUCUGUUCCCGCCGCUGGUUCUGCUCCCAUCCCUCCCUCAGCCCUGGCUCUCCAACACCCACGGACCAUGCAGUUUAUCCGAGUUUUGAAAUUUUCGUUGAUCACAGAAUUUCUCACCACAGAGCGUGAGAAAUGUCUGAUCAGCGUGAGGGCGUGAGAGUUUGCUGAGGGCGUUCUUUUUAACGCUCAAAGCGUGAGAGUUGGCAGCCUUGACGUAAGUUCAGUUCAGUUUCAGUUCAGUUUAGUUUAUUGUCACGUGUAUACCGAGGUACACUGAAAAGCUUUUGUUGCUUGCUAUCCAGUCAGCGGAAAGGCAAUACAUGAUUACAAUCGAUGCAGGAUACAUGAUAAAGACAAUGAGGUUGUCAGUGAGUUGACAGCACCUUGUAUACAUUGCGAGCAGACCCAAUGGACAGCAGGUCUUAUUCCAAGUGAUUGCAAGUAUUAGCCAGUCCCUGAGAAUGUGACCGUGAACUUGUGACAGUGAUGUUGUGACACAUCAGUGAUCUUAUAUUGGUAAGUGGCAGGCGUGACCUUCUGCAAACUGCUCCUCAGCCUGUGGAAGUGGAAUUCUUUGAUCAGAAAUGGUUGCUGAUUCAGUUCCUGGUGCUGCCUAUUCAAGGUCAGGUUUGUUCUGAUUUUGAGUCCACAGUAAGGUAGUGUGAAGAAUUGUGCCCCCAUGCGAAUGUGAUGGGCUGGAGCACCAAAGUACCAGUUGGGCACUGGUUCCUCCAUAGUGUUGAUGACACUUGCAAAGUACUAAAGUAAACUCUGUGCUUUGUAACAGUGAAUAAACAGAUAACUGGACAGUGAAUACUGAGUACUUUGGCAACAUCCCAAUCAUAGAUUUAGCUCCUUAAUCACUGCUGUCUGCUUGUUUUGCUUUCACUAGUGAAUUUCAGGAAGUCGAGGAAACCCAUAAAGAUUAUGUUAAACUUUAAAACCCACAUUAAUAUCCUGUGAUUGAACAAUAAGGAUGACAAAUGCCAGUGUGCCUCUUUAGAGGGGGCUGUGUGCAUGCUGUCUACUGUGAGGCAGUUAAAUGCAGAGGCUGUAGGGGAAGUUGGUUUGGAGUUCUGCUUCUCAGUGGUUUCAGAAUGUUCCUGGAUUGCAGUAGCAACUCACUACCCAACUCAACACUUGCUACCCAACUCACACUCUUCCCCCCAAUUGUAUCAGAAUAUAGUGUAUAGUUGUAUGCACCUACAAAUGCAGAAACAGGUUACCCAGUAAUUCUACCUUUUGCCUGGGUUGUAAUCACAUGUAUAAAAUGCAACAAAGAAAAAAUAACCAAUGUAACUGUUGCACUUUUAUCACCUUUCACAUCCCUGCACAAGUUAACCCACAACGCUUUAUAGCCGGUAAUAUUCUUUGUUGUAAAGUAGGAAAUGCAUCAGUAUCACAUUCUUUAGGUACAGGGAAAUAGGUGGUAAGUUAAACCAACAAGGAAUGCCAUAGGAAACCUGGCAGUCAAUCUGCAUACAGACAGUUCCCAUAGACAGCAACAUAAAUGUGAUUAUGACCAGGUUAUUGCUCCUUGUGCUGCUCAUUGGGGAUAGAUGUUGGGAAAAACUGCCCUGCUCAUCCUCAAAAUCUUUGCAUUACCCCAGGAUUUCAGAGAGGACCCUGUUUUAAUGUUUCAUUCAAACUAUAGCAUUUGACAAUGCAGCACUUCCUUGGAGUGGUCAGCCUAGAUUUUUCUGUGUAGGACUCUGGACUGGGACAUGAAUUUAGAGGCAAGAGAACACUGCUACACAGCCACUACUAGUCUGCUGUAUCUGCAAUAUAUCAGGAAAACCAAAGGCUGAUAGCACUUGUGGGUCUCCAGCCACUCAAACCUGUUCCAUGGUUCAUAGUUAAUUUGUCCUUAACUCCUUAAUGAAACAUUAAGUCUGUUUCUCUUUCCACAGACUUUGCCUAACCUGUUGAGUGUUUCCAGCAUUCUCUGUUUAUAUUACAACGCAGAAGAGAGUCCGUUUGUCCACUGGAUCCCUGAAGGUUUUUUUCAGGGGCAAUCAGUGUGGUUUUACUACACUGCAUUUUCCCUAAUCCUUCAGCAACUUUUUUUCUACUUUGAAUAUUUUCCAAUUCCAUUUGAAGGCUUCUAUUGAAUUUGUUUCAGCCACCUUACAAACAGUGAAUUCCUGAUCCUGACCACUCGUUUCAUAACUUUCUGCUUCUUUUGCCAAUCGCCUGGUCCGAGCCCUCUAGUUAUCAAUCCUUCUGCCUCUGGUAAUGUUUUUGUUUAUUCUGAACAAAAGCCUUCAUGGUCUGGGCAAGGAUGCCUGAAGAUGUCGGUCUUAAAUCCUGAUGAACUGAAGGCAGAUCUUAUCAAGAUUUUAACGGAAGCUUCAGCUCAGAAUGGAUUGUGAAGCUCUCAGCAAGUUUUAAAGCUUUUAACUGGAAGGGAGUCAAACAAUAGCAUUAACUUUGAUCAUCGGAGUGAUACAUACUCGAGUUAAACCAAAAGCUGUUUUUACUUAGGUUGGUAACCCUAGGGCACCAAUUCUCAUUGUAUUCAAAGAACUGUUGGUAUUUGCUGACUAUUGUGGCUCAUUUUGCAAUGGCUUUGAGCACAGUUAUUAAAGUCUUUAAAACACCAACUUGCAUUUACAAAGUGCCUUUAAUGCAACAAGGUGUCCCAAGGUACUCUGCGGGAUUUGUGAGCAGGCAAAACCUGACAAAGAAGCACAUGUGGUGAACAAAGGCUUGACCAUAGUUUUCUGGGAUCGUCUGAAAGGAGGAAAGAGGUUUAGGGACGGUAUUCCAGAGCAGGACACCAGAAGGAUUCUCGACACGAAAUGUCACCCAAGGAUACUAGAUCUUUGAUGUCACCUAUCCAUGUUCUCCAGAGAUGCUGCCUGUCCUGCUGAGAUACUCCAGCUCCUGAGAUACUCCAGCUCCUAGUGUCCUUUUGUGUACCACAUGACAAGAUCAUGUACCACAUGACAAUACUCUUUUCAGCAAUGUUGAUUGUGGUAUCAUCUAUCAAAUGAGAUGUCAAACCAAGACCUGCCUGCCUUCUUGGGACCCAGGCCUCCAGCUACAGAGCAAGGCCAUUGUGAAUGCAAGUGGGUGACUCUGCUCCUGAAUGGUUUAAUGGACAAUGAGGCUCCACCACCUCCCACCCAGUUACUGGAAAAAGACAUCUUCUGCCUACAACUGACUGGAAAGCACCCCUCAGGUCAUGGAGACAGCUGUUUAUCUUCAGUCUCUUCUGGUCGUAUUUGCGUUGAUGUAAUAUAAUUACAUUUUAGUUGCGUUUAUUAUUGCCAUCUGUAUCAUGGUAAAUUAAAAAGCUUUUUGCGAUUCGUGCAAUCUCGUCAAUGAAAAAAAUUAUACAUGAUUACGAUCAAGCCAGUCCACUCUGGACAGAUACGGGAUAAAGUGCAUACUUAGUGCGAGAAAAAGUCCGAUAGCAUAGAAUUAGAAAGAGAAUUAUAAAGUACUGCAGAUGCUGAAAAUCUGAAAUAAAAAUGGAACAUUGUGCAAAAAAUCAGCAGAUCAGGUAGCAUUUAUGGAGAGCGAGAGUUGGUGUAUCAGACUUUCGAUCUUUCAUCACUCUGUGUCUCUUCCCAUAGAUGCUGCCCGGCCAGUCAAGUGUUUGUAGCAUUUUCUGCUUUGACAGCUAAAGAGCACAAACUGACGAUUAGCUGUCGAUGUCCCAACUACAGGAGAGGAUGAGAAAGGAAAUAAAUAUACACAACAAAAUAAUCAAAUAUGAUGAUU